GAAUUUGACCAUCAAACAUAUUGUUUGAGAGGUCCAAUUGAGUAAGUAGUGUGAGGUUAAAAAAACUAUCCGGAAUUUUACCAGAAAAAUUAUUAAAAGAAAGUGUCAAGGAAUUUAGCAUCUUAAGGUUUCUAAGUGAGGAUGAAAUCUGGCCAUCAAACUUGUUGUGUGAGAGAUCCAACUCAGUAAGUUGUGUGAGAUUAAAAAAACUAUCCGGAAUUUUACCAGAAAAAUUAUUGAAAGAAAGUAUCAAGAAAUCUAGUUUCUUAAGGUUUCCAAGUGAUAAUGGAAUCUGACCAUCAAAAUUGUUACCUAAAAGUUCCAAAAAAGCAAGUAGAGUGAGGUUGGAAAACUCAUUCAGAAUUUUUCCAGUAAAAUUAUUGUCUGUGAGAAACAAGUGACUGAGCUGCUUAAGGUUUCUAAGUGAGACUGGGAGAUGACCUUGAAAAUUGUUAUUUGAGAGGUCCAACCACGCCAAUUGCGUUUGAUUAACAAAAACAUCAGGAAUUGGACCAAUAAAAUUAUUGUAUCCAAGAUCCAGGUACUCGAGAUGCUUAAGUUUUCCAAACGAGAAAGGAAUUUGACCACCAAACUGGUUACCUGCAAGUCUCAACUCAAUGAGUUGCGUGAGGUUACCAAGUAGACCAAGAUUCGAGCCAACAAAAUUGCACCAGUUAAGAUACAUCACUUCCACAGACUUCAGUUGACUGAUUGAAUGUGGUUCCAAAUGUAUUGAAAUCCGCGUCUGUGACAGAUCCAAAUGCGAAAUAGCAUUGCUCAAAUUGUAUGGCGGAAAAGAGCCAGUGAGUUCUCCGUUGCUCGAUAAAUCGAGCGAUUGAAGGUUUGAUCGGCGAAAGAAAUUAUCAGGGAGUUCCCCUUUCAAUCCACAAUACCAGAGUCGGAGAGAUGACAAAGAAGAAGACAAGUUCAUCAAGGAACUGGGUACCACCAAAGACAUGUCCACUCCACCCAAGUAGAGUUC
rnacentral:lncRNA from 1 species